rnacentral:rRNA from 1 species
AGCAGUAGCCGCGGUAAAACGUAGGUGGCAAGCGUUGUCCGGAAUUAUUGGGCGUAAAGGGCUCGCAGGCGGUUUCUUAAGUCUGAUGUGAAAGCCCCCGGCUCAACCGGGGAGGGUCAUUGGAAACUGGGAAACUUGAGUGCAGAAGAGGAGAGUGGAAUUCCACGUGUAGCGGUGAAAUGCGUAGAGAUGUGGAGGAACACCAGUGGCGAAGGCGACUCUCUGGUCUGUAACUGACGCUGAGGAGCGAAAGCGUGGGGAGCGAACAGGAUUAGAUACCCCUGUAGUCCCUGUCUCUUAUAC